AACGAACGCUGGCGGCAGGCUUAACACAUGCAAGUCGAACGCCCCGCAAGGGGAGUGGCAGACGGGUGAGUAACGCGUGGGAGUCUACCCAGUUCUACGGAAUAACCCAGGGAAACUUGGACUAAUACCGUAUACGCCCUACGGGGGAAAGAUUUAUCGGAAUUGGAUGAGCCCGCGUUGGAUUAGCUAGUUGGUGGGGUAAUGGCCUACCACGGCGGCGAUCCAUCGCUGGUCUGAGAGGAUGAUCAGCCACACUGGGACUGAGACACGGCCCAGACUCCUACGGGAGGCAGCAGUGGGGAAUAUUGGACAAUGGGCGCAAGCCUGAUCCAGCCAUGCCGCGUGAGUGAUGAAGGCCUUAGGGUUGUAAAGCUCUUUCAGUGGGGACGAUAAUGACGGUACCCACAGAAGAAGCCCCGGCUAACUUCGUGCCAGCCGCCGCAGUAAAAC
rnacentral:rRNA from 1 species